rnacentral:rRNA from 1 species
UACGGGGGGAGCAAGCGUUGUUCGGAUUUACUGGGCGUAAAGGGCGCGUAGGCGGUCAGCACAAGUCAGUUGUGAAAUCUCCGAGCUUAACUCCGAAACUGCAUUCGAUACUGCCGUGCUUGAGGACUGGAGAGGAGACUGGAAUUUACGGUGUAGCGGUGAAAUGCGUAGAUAUCGUAAGGAAGACCAGUGGCGAAGGCGGGUCUCUGGACAGUUCCUGACGCUGAGGCACGAAGGUCAGGGGAGCAAACGGG